GGCUGGUCCAAAGAUAGUGAGUUAUCUCACUUGAUUGUUCACAGUCAGUUAUAGGUUGAACUCCUCGUUCUACUACUUUCCCCAUUUCUCACUGCUGCAUUUGACUAGUCAUGA
rnacentral:Y_RNA from 1 species